rnacentral:rRNA from 1 species
UAACGGAAGGCAGCAGUGGGGAAUAUUGGACAAUGGGCGGAAGCCUGAUCCAGCCAUGCCGCGUGUGUGAAGAAGGCCUUUUGGUUGUAAAGCACUUUAAGCGAGGAGGAGGCUACUAGUACUAAUACUACUGGAUAGUGGACGUUACUCGCAGAAUAAGCACCGGCUAACUCUGUGCCAGCAGCCGCGGUAAUACAGAGGGUGCGAGCGUUAAUCGGAUUUACUGGGCGUAAAGCGUGCGUAGGCGGCUGAUUAAGUCGGAUGUGAAAUCCCUGAGCUUAACUUAGGAAUUGCAUUCGAUACUGGUCAGCUAGAGUAUGGGAGAGGAUGGUAGAAUUCCAGGUGUAGCGGUGAAAUGCGUAGAGAUCUGGAGGAAUACCGAUGGCGAAGGCAGCCAUCUGGGCCUAAUACUGACGCUGAGUCGAAAGGCAUGGGGAAGGCAAACAGGAUUAAGGAAUAACC